UACAUAAAAUGGGCUAUUCCAUUUAAUAUCCGUACCCCCCCUGUCGAGGAUACCUGGAAUUCUUCAGGGGUAGGGUGUUUUGAGCUUGGAAUUCUUCAGGGGUAGGGUGUUUUGAGUUUGGAAUUCUUCAGGGGUAGAUUGUUUUGAGCUUGGAAUUCUUCAGGGGUAAAGGAUUUUGAGUUUGGAAUUCUUCAGGGGUACAGUCUUUUAGCUUGGAAUUCUUCAGGGGUAAAGGAUUUUGAGUUUGGAAUUCUUCAGGGGUAGAUUGUUUUGAGCUUGGAAUUCUUCAGGGGUACAGUGUUUUGAGUUUGGAAUUCUUCAGGGGUACAGUGUUUUGAGUUUGGAAUUCUUCAGGGGUAGGGUGUUUUGAGCUUGGAAUUCUUCAGGGGUAAAGUGUUUUGAGCUUGGAAUUCUUCAGGUUAAAGUGUUUUGAGCUUGGAAUUCUUCAGGGGUACAGUGUUUUGAGCUUGGAAUUCUUCGGGGGUAGGGUGUUUUGAGUUUGGAAUUCUUCAGGGGUACAGUGUUUUGAGUUUGGAAUUCUUCAGGGGUAGGGUGUUUUGAGUUUGGAAUUCUUCAGGGGUAAAGUGUUUUGAGCUUGGAAUUCUUCAGGGGUACAGUGUUUUGAGUUUGGAAUUCUUCAGGGGUACAGUGUUUUGAGCUUGGAAUUCUUCAGGGGUACAGUGUUUUGAGCUUGGAAUUCUUCAGGGGUACAGUGUUUUGAGCUUGGAAUUCUUCAGGGGUACAGUGUUUUGAGCUUGGAAUUCUUCAGGGGUAGGGUGUUUUGAGCUUGGAAUUCUUCAGGGGUAGGGUGUUUUGAGCUUGGAAUUCUUCAGGGGUAAAGGAUUUUGAGUUUGAAAUUUCUGCAGGGGUACCCUAUGAUUGAUCUGAAUUUUUUUAACUAACUAACUGCACUCUUAAGGCCGUUUUCCAUUAACGUUCGCUAAAAAUGUUCUGCGUGAUUUAAGGUGGCUUAGUUGAAAACAAUGUAGUUGUGAAAGGACAAAGAGAAAUUCCGCUCCACGUGGAAAAUUCCGCCUAGUGAAAAACAAGCUUUAAAGCUCGAGUAAUACGAGCAACAAAAUUGCUGCAACUUGCAACAAAAUCUGAUUUCUACGCAUGUUAAUUGAAAAUACUUAACAUGCAUAGAAAUCAGUUUUUGCUGCAAGGUGCAGCAAUUAUUACUCCACAUUUACACCCGUUUUUCUUUUUAAAUUACAUGGCACAUGGGGUUAGGCCAGUUAAAAUGAGGAAGCGGAACGAAAGGGGUUAAAGGCGGAACGGAACGAAUAUGAGGUUAAAACUUAAAACCAAUAUCCGUUCCGUUCUGCAUUUUAACCAUAUAUCCGUCCCACAUUUUAACCCCAUCCGUUCCGUAUUUUAAUCCCAUCCGUUCCGCAUCCGUUCCGCUUCCGCACUUUAACCUAACCCAUGGCACAUGUUUAUGUUACGCAAACUACUAUAAAUAGCAAUGUAAACAAAAGACAUUUUAAACCGUAUCUAACACCCCCCCCCCCAAAAAAUAAAAAUAUAUUGAGCCAAAAUAAGCUAGAUAUUAUCAGAGAAAAAGAAACAACACACCAUCAUUUAAACUUGGAUAAAACAAAAUUUAUGAUUUUUAAACCUAAACCAAAAUUAUUGGAAUUAGAUGUGAAACUACUAUUGAAUGAUAGAGAAAUUGAUCAAGUGAAAAAAAUCGUUUUCUUAGGAAUUAUUUUAGAUGACAAACUUUCUUGGAAAUCUCAUAUUAGUCAUGUGUCAACGAAGAUUUCAAAAUCAGUAGGAAUAAUACGUAAAUCUAGUUGUUUUUUUAAACAAUCAUUGUUUACAGUACUUUAUAUUACUCAAUGCAAUAUUGUUUGGGCAUCUACGUAUGCAUCCAACCUGUUUCGUUUGGUAGUUCUUUAGAAACGUAUUGUUAGAAUUAUGAAUAUAGUACAUUUGAUUCUCAUACAAGCAUGAUCUUUAAAAAUUUUCGAUUAUUGAAAUUUAAUGACAUAUGUAAAUUACACUGACAUGUCAAUUCAUGUUCUU